rnacentral:rRNA from 1 species
UUAGGAAUCUUGCGCAAUGGGGGAAACCCUGACGCAGCAACGCCGCGUGAAGGACGAAGGCCUUCGGGUUGUAAACUUCUUUUAGCAGGAAAGAACACAAUGACGGUACCUGCAGAAAAAGCACCGGCUAACUCUGUGCCAGCAGCCGCGGUAAUACAGAGGGUGCAAGCGUUAUUCGGAUUUACUGGGCAUAAAGAGCGCGUAGGCGGUUUAAUAAGUCUGAUGUGAAAUCCCUGGACCCAAUCCAGGAAGUGCAUCGGAUACUGUUAGACUCGAGUACAGGAGGGGAGAGCGGAAUUCCAGGUGUAGAGGUGAAAUUCGUAGAUAUCUGGAGGAACAACAGUGGCGAAGGCGGCUCUCUGGACUGUUACUGACGCUGAGGCGC